UUUCUGAUGAUUAAACCCUAGUGACAAUACGACUGGAUUCCUACAUCUGUCACAAUACUACCUGCUGAUACAUAAUGAGCUACUCUAAAAGAACUAGCUCUUGCUGCUCUUCAAUGCAGAUAAAAUGUCUAUUUGUAGAAUGUAAUUAAUCUCUUCUUCAAAAUCAGGAACCUUAGUGUCCUUGGUAACAACAUGCCAGUGACUCAGAGAGUGUCUCUGGCUUUUUCUUCUGAUUUUUGAGCGAGUUAUUGAAAGUGACCCCAAAUUCUAGCACUGAAAAGGUGCUGCGCUUCAGAAGUGGAAAAGCCAGCUGGGUAUCAGGAGGCAGGGAUAGGUUUUACCUGCACUCUGCAGGGCUCCUUCGGCAGCUUCAGGAGGUUCCUGUCCCUGUUUCAGCCACAUUCCCUGGGAUGAAACGAGUUCUCAUCCCAUCAAGCACAAAUUCCCUUUUACCAUCAGGCAUAACCAGGCUGGUACAAUACUGAAAGCAGAGCAAGAGUGAGGAUCCCAAGAUGAAGCUGCUCCCUCCUUUGCCUGGUUUCCACAGGCAAUAAGUCAGAGGUGUCAAAUUCAUUUUCACCGGGGGCCACAUCAGCCUCACAGUUCCCUUCAAAGGGCCAAAUGCAAUUUUAGGACUGUAUAAACGUGGCCCCGGUGAAAAUGAGUUUGACACCCCUGCAAAAAGUGGCUUAUUUCAGCCAAGUAUGGCCAGGGAUAAAGAUUCAAGGGCAUCCAGAACCUACCAGGUAGCAACAAUGCAAAGCCAUGAGCACUGGAAGAGCAGAGGAAUGUGGGGACAUGUGGCUGGCAGAGCCCUGGGUCCCUUUGAGGGCUGUACUUGGGCAUCGCCUGCUCCCCCAGCCACCCUGCCCCAGGCUGGCUGAGAUGGGUGCUGAAAAGGCAAAUUUGGGGCACUGGAAAGCACACAGAGGCCAAAUCCGCUUUCUAUGAAUUUCAGUGGGAAGCAACCACUGCUGGAUGUUGCUCACUGACCCAGUUCCAAAGCCCAGGGGACGGAUGGGCGGUGACAAAGGGAUGGCUGAUUGGAGAGAGUGGGUGAUGGAGGACUUGCAUGAUUUAUUUAGUUUCUGGAAGAAAAAAAAAAAACAAAACAGAAAAAAAAAGGAUUGUUGGAUAAAAUCAGCAUAUUCCAGGCUAAACUGUGCUGCAGCAAUACUUUGUGGGACAGGAGUUGAGGUGCUUGAUCUCAGCAAGCUAACAUCUUUCAUUUAAAAAGCCAAAUUAGUCCAGAGGCUCUGGUCCCACAAGGUUUCAGAGCAAUUUGCCCCUGGGCUGCAAUCGGCACAGCUCACCCAUCUCUGUCCCCAGGCACCCCGAGGGAGAGGACGAGACCAGAAGAGAGGCCGACUCUGACCCUCGCACCACGUAAUGCUGCUUCCGAGUGAAAACCAGAAUUUAUAGGUCUUUCUGCCUGCUGGGGAGGCUAUGAAGGCUCUAGAAAAACUGCUCACCCUGGGGGAAGGAAAUUAGAGCCCGAAACAGACAGAUUAGAAGGGAAAAAGCCCAUUUUUCCAUCAUUUUCAAUAGCAGCUCAGUUCCCAGUGACCCCAGGGACUGAAGGCCAGCACCAGGCUGCCCAUCUACGGCUCCCAGCAAAAGCUCCCCUGCAGCCAGCACCCGGUUCAGCACACGCCGAAACUCCCAGCGAAACAACCCACGACGCCAACCAACCCACAUCCCUCUAACUCCUCUCUUGCAGCCCAGGGGGAACCAGACACCGGCUGAAGUGCUGGUGCAGAACAGAAAUUUGCCUGUUUUUAAGGCUGAGCCCUGCGGGGUGGCCGGCAGCCCCACAGCGAUGCCCCCACAAAGCCAUCACGCAUCCUGCGGGCACAGGGCGAUCAGGCGUCCUGCUCCCGGCAGCGGGGUUCACGCACCCUCUGCAGCUUUCCCAUCCACACAAAUAUGUUAAUAAAAGAUCAGUUUGCAGACGCAGCUUGCUGUAGAUGACAGCAUUAGAGGCGCAUCUGUUUCUACUAAGCACCAGUCUCGUGCUGGGUUUAUUUGGUCCAUUUGCGGUGGGGAAGAGUUGCUUUCGGCAUUCAGAGAUGUCUCGUGUCUGGGAGAAGCGGGAGGGGGAGAUAUAUUUUUGGCUCUAUUUAACCACAAAAAUUUGGGUUUAGAAUAAAGAAAAAUAUUCGUGUUUUCUGUUUGCUGCCAAACCGAGGCAGACGAUUUCUUGUGCAAGCCUUCAUCUGUUUGUGAACUCAGUGUCCUGUUGGAAAAAUAAAUGUUCUGAUGGGAAAA